GGAUAAUUCAGUGGUAGACCAUCUACUUUGAAUGCAGAAAGUCCCAGUUUCAACUCCUGGCAUCACCA
rnacentral:tRNA from 1 species